GAUAAACUGGAGGAAGGUGGGGAAGACCUAAAGUCAUCAUGCCCUUUAGGAGUGGGGCUACACACGUGCUACAAUGGCAUAUACAAAGAGAAGCGACCUCGCGAGAGCAAGCGGACUUCAUAAAGUAUUUUGUAGUCCGGAUUGGAGUCUGCAAUUCGACUCCAUGAAGUCGGAAUCGUUAGUAAUCGUGGAUCAGAAUGCCACGGUGAAUACGUUCCCGGGCUUUGUACACACCGCCCGUCACACCAUGGGAGUGGGUCCAAAGGAAGUAGUUGGGUUAACCUUUGGG
rnacentral:rRNA from 1 species